GUCGGACGUGUUUACGGGACAUAUUAGAUUAUCAUUUUUAUUGGAUCCUAGAUCAUUGAGUCAUUUAUAUCGGAUAAUGUAAUAUAGA